rnacentral:rRNA from 1 species
CUACGGGCUGCUCCAGUGGGGAAUAUUGCACAAUGGAGGAAACUCUGAUGCAGCAACGCCGCGUGGAGGAUGACACUUUUCGGAGCGUAAACUCCUUUUAUAUAGGAAGAAGAUGACGGUACUAUAUGAAUAAGCGCCGGCUAACUCCGUGCCAGCAGCCGCGGUAAUACGGAGGGCGCAAGCGUUACUCGGAAUCACUGGGCGUAAAGAGCGUGUAGGCGGAUUAAAAAGUCAGAAGUGAAAUCCUAUAGCUUAACUAUAGAACUGCUUCUGAAACUCUUAAUCUAGAAUAUGGGAGAGGUAGAUGGAAUUUCUGGUGUAGGGGUAAAGUCCGUAGAGAUCAGAAGGAAUACCGAUUGCGAAGGCGAUCUACUAGAACAUUAUUGACGCUGAGACGCGAAAGCGUGGGGAGCAAACAGGAUUAGAUACCCGCGUAGUC